CAGGGAGACAAAUAAAUGAUUGUGAUGUCUAAGUUUUAAUCUUUAGGCCAUAAUCCUGUCACCUUAGGUCGAUCGGUAUCUCAGGUUGAAACCCAAUUAUUUGAUGCUUCUUGCAUUUUUAUUGGAGUUUGAUUUCAGUUCCUAAACUUGUCUAGGUCACACCCAACAAGACUUCUCCUGGGCCAUUAGCUCAGGUGGUUAGAGCGCACCCCUGAUAAGGGUGAGGUCCCUGGUUCAAGUCCAGGAUGGCCCAUUCGUUGUUGGGGGUAUAGCUCAGUUGGUAGAGCGCCUGCUUUGCAAGCAGGAUGUCAGCGGUUCGAGUCCGCUUACCUCCACUGAUCAACUACCUGAUAACUAACUUUAAAGGAGAUUGACUUUGUUAGAUGUGACUUGGAAUUGUUCCUCUGAAUGAACCUAGCUUCAUAUCAUUCCUUCAAUUAUUGAGGUUGAUAAGACGCUGGGCUCUCUAAGAAUCAAUAGAUUCUUAAUAAAGUUCAGCAAGAACCUUGACAACUGCAUAGGUAAGUCUGGAAAGAAAAAGCAUCUUAAUAGAUGCACAAUUUCUAUUUUUUGGAGAUUUUCUAAUUUAUAGAGGUUGUGUUUAUUUCUAAAUCAAGAGCCGAGUCUCUAUUUAAUUCUUUUUUGAAAAAAUGAGAUUUAAUUCUCAUUGAAUAAAAAGAGAAUUAUUUGGAGAUUAUUAAUAGAAU
rnacentral:tRNA from 1 species